UUGUAGCUCAGUUGGUAGAGUACGGGUCUUAUGAGCCCGGUGUCGUGGGUUCGA
rnacentral:tRNA from 14 species